GGAGAGGUGCCGGAGCGGCCGAACGGGCUCGUCUCGAAAACGAGUAUAGGCGAUGAGUCUAUCGAGGGUUCGAAUCCCUCCCUCUCCGC
rnacentral:tRNA from 2 species